UGGGAGAUCGUCUAACGGUAGGACAACAGCCUCUGACGCUGUCUAUCUAGGUUCGAAUCCUAGUCUCCCAGCCA
rnacentral:tRNA from 5 species